rnacentral:rRNA from 1 species
CGCGGUAAUACGUAAGUGGCAAGCGUUGUCCGGAAUUAUUGGGCGUAAAGCGCUCGCAGGCGGUUCUUUAAGUCUGAUGUGAAAUCUUACGGCUCAACCGUAAACGUGCAUUGGAAACUGGGGAACUUGAGUGCCGAAGAGGAGAGUGGAAUUCCACGUGUAGCGGUGAAAUGCGUAGAGAUGUGGAGGAACACCAGUGGCGAAGGCGACUCUCUGGUCUGUAACUGACGCUGAGUGAGCGAAAGCGUGGGGAGCGAACAGGAUUAGAUACCCUGGUAGUCCACGCCGUAAACGAUGAGUGCUAGGUGUCAGGGGGUCUCCGCCCCUUAGUGCUGAAGUUAACGCAUUAAGCACUCCGCCUGUGGAGUACGGCCGCAAUGCUGAAACUCAAAAGAAUUGACCUGUGGCCCGUACAAGCGGUGACGCCAUGUGGUAUAAUUCCGAAAGCAUGCGAAGAACCUUACCAG